GCGGCCGCCUCACUCCCGGAGGAACCCGACGGCGGUGGCGGUCCGGACGACUUGCUGCCGCUCCCGCUGUGGCUGGUGGCCGAGGGCAUCUUCAGACCGCAAGGAGAGAGAAGAAAAAGCGGGAGGAAGGACAAGAGCGGCCAGUCAGGAGACGGACGGGGCGAGACGCGGGACAAAACGCGCAGCGAGCGGUUUACCUAACACUGUAAAGAGAACGUUCAAUGAAAUACAAAGAAAAAGAUGAUUUUUUUGCUCCAAGAGAAUUAUUCCAGCCUUGGGGUGGAGUGGGUGUGGACAGUGAGCAGAAAAACAAGAAACCAAGUUCUGGGAGGAAAUAAAAUGAAUAUAAUCAGUGGAAAAUUCAGCAACGCAAUAUUGUGUGACAACAGUAAAUGACCAAUUUAUAAUUUAAAUUCUAUGAAAAAGAGAUUUAGAAGAGAGUUCUACCAAACCCACUGUUCCCUAGGGAAUAAAAUGAGUAACGCUGACUGGCAACAGUGCAUCCUGAGGGAGCCUGGAGAAACAACAGCAGCCUCCGACCUCAAGAUAUCCUGGUAGUGCUGUGACAGUGUCUUAAGUAGGGCAUGUUGAUAGAUGGAAAAGGACGGCAAACUCGAGGUGCUGAUUCAGGAAGAAGCAGAUUCCAAGAUGGAAGAGAAAAUAUCGAGAGAAAUAUGCCGAGAGAAGAAUCCAGGCAGAAUGGAAUCCAGGCAGAAUGGUGAAUGGAAGGUUCGGGUGACCAAGAGAAAGGAAGGGUGACUCAGCAAGUCUGUAGUUUCAGCUCUUGUAUAGUACGUUAUACUUGAAAAGCUGAAGCCUUUUCUCGGGGAAGAGUCAGAACGGCCUGGAGGGCUUGCUAAAGCGCUGCUGGCUGGGCCCCGCCCGCUGAAUGACUAAUGGAGACUCUGAGGGCCGGCUGGUAAUUUGAGUUUCUAACAAGCCCUGUUUCGAUGCUGGUACAGCCGAUCUAGGGAAAAUAUUGGAACAAGGAAAAAACUAAGAAGAAAUUUUAAAAAGUAAUCAAAGGCGGCCAAGUGAGGUGGCUCACGCCUGUGAUC
rnacentral:lncRNA from 1 species